GCCCGGUUAGCUCAGAUGGUAGAGCAUCAGACUUUUAAUCUGAGGGUCAUGGGUUCUAGCCCCAUAUCGGGCG
rnacentral:tRNA from 2 species